rnacentral:rRNA from 1 species
UGGGGAAUAUUGGACAAUGGGGGAAACCCUGAUCCAGCAAUGCCGCGUGAGUGAAGAAGGCCUUAGGGUUGUAAAGCUCUUUCGCCCGCGAAGAUAAUGACGGUAGCGGGAGAAGAAGCCCCGGCUAACUCCGUGCCAGCAGCCGCGGUAAUACGGAGGGUGCGAGCGUUGUUCGGAAUUACUGGGCGUAAAGCGCGUGCAGGCGGUCUCUUAAGUCUGGUGUGAAAGCCCGGGGCUCACCCCCGGAAGGGCACUGGAGACUGGGAGGCUAGAAUACCGGAGAGGAAGGUGGAAUUCCUGGUGUAGCGGUGAAAUGCGUAGAUAUCAGGAGGAACACCGGUGGCGAAGGCGGCCUUCUGGACGGCUACUGACGCUGAGACGCGAAAGCGUGGGGAGCAAACA